UGCGAGCUUUCUCUCUCCCCUUUCUUGUACUAAAACAUUGUGAACAGUGUUUGGUUCAAGAUUGGGGGGAUUUCUUUACUUCUUUUUUUUCUAUCUUGUGUGUUUAUGCUUUUUUUUUUCUUUUAGUUAUCUCCAUUAAAUUUAGUUUUUUUUGUCGUUAUUUUUUUAACAAAAAAAUCCCGAAUUAGGACCUUUCAAAAAAUAUUCUUGAAAAUAUUUUAAUCAUAAGGAAAAUGGGAAAGUAUAUAGAGUUAGAGGGAUGCGAGGCUAAGUCUAG
rnacentral:lncRNA from 1 species